GAUCCCUUGGCCCAGUUGGUUAAGGCAUCGUGCUAAUAACGCGGGGAUCGGCAGUUCGAACCUGCCAGGGAUCA